rnacentral:misc_RNA from 1 species
GAUCUUGAUAUCAUGUGAAUGAGUAAUUGCAUGUAAGUUCUUGUAUGUGUAUUUAGUGUGGGAAGUGGGUAGUAAAUUUGAACUCAUUUAUAUUGUACAUGCACUUGAUUGUAGUAAAUUAUAGUUUUUUUUAGUAAGGAAUACUUUCUUUUUCUAUUAUUAUUACUGAGACACAACUACAUGUAUUGAUAGUAAAUUUUGUUCUGGGUAAAUUUGCCAACAACCUAAAUGAACCAAAAUACAUUUUGUAACCAUUGACCUCAUUUUAAUUAUUCACCUGCUUACCUAUCAGAAGUUAAUGUGUAUAAAUACCUGUGUAUUUUAUACAUCUACCAUGCUGAUGAUUGGCUUGUACAUUUAUUUUAUUUAUAUAUGCCCGAAGGUGCUUUAAAAAGUGAAACUUAUACACUAGCUGUUGUAGUGUUUACAUUGUAUAAUGCUUUACCACUUUGUGACAUUAAAUUGUUAUAAUUG